rnacentral:lncRNA from 1 species
GAGUGUCCUUCAGACACUGGGAUGGCUGCACCUUUACCCGUCCUCUCCAACUCUCUCCACCUAGAAAGUAUUCUUUUCUCUUAAUUUUGUUAGAGUUAUAUAGGAAUGCUCCUUCAGCAGAAAUGACAGAGGCUGUUGCUCUCAGAAUCAAAUGCAAUAAUGUGACCUGUAAAUUCCUGUGAAUAUUUGGAUAUUUUAGCGAUAUUUGUUUAUUCAGAAGAGAUUCUGGAUGCAGAACUCUCCUCCUCUCUGUUCUCUAACCCUGCUUUCCACCAUCAUUCUUCUCUCUCUAGGGCACAGAGAGAAUUAAGAACAACCUAAGGGUCAUUACAAUGAUCUAACUGCCUUACCUGCUUUUGAACUGGUUGAGCCUCUUGUGGGACCGAAAACAAAAGAAGGGUGUUGAAAUGCAAAUAGAUAACUCUGGGUCCCAGUCCCUGACUGCAAAAGGAAGCCAAAACUGACAACAACGUCUCCUUCUCUACGGAGGUUUGUAGAAAGGCUGUACAAAAAUCUCACAAGAUGUAUUUCUUCUCGUGGACUGGAGUCCCAAGGUGCUUAAGAGCUCUUCAAUUUGUUAAUGGAAAGAAACACCAUUUACACCGGAUGGCUACAAAGCAACCUUAUUCUGAUCUUUUCUCAGAAUAGCAGUCUGUAGGCUGUCACCUAAAGUGUCCUGUUUUCAGUGCUGCACCUGCUCUGAGCUUCAUCUUUUUACGAAGACGUCAUGGUGUGCUAUCUGUACUGGGAAACUUUCCCCAGCAUCAGCCAUCUCCUGAAGAUAACAUUGUCUGCUAGAGAUUGUCAUGUAUGUGGAUUGAAUCUCUUUAUCUUCAUGGUCCUCUUUCUGUGCCCCCAGCCCGGUUGACAAUGUGUGCCUUCACUCACCCAAUUAGAAACCUUGGAGGUAUCCUGUACUCUUCUGUCACUUACCCUCAGCCUAAAGCCAAUCAGUCACCAAAGUAUUGUCUGUCAUUAUCAUCAUCAUCAUCAUCAUCACUGUCACCACUGAUGGAGUGAGAACCUUGUGCAGUUGAGCAUGAACCCCAAUUUCAUUUGCAAAAUGACCCAGACAGCAGAUUUCAUCUCAUAUGAAAUAAGCAAGGUGAGGUUUUGAUGACGUUACAGACAUGGCUAAGAAGAGGUUGAGAACCAGCAUUCAGCCCACCUGACUCCAAAGCUCAUGCCCCGAACCUCAGAAACUUCUCCAGUGAGUUCCUUUUUUUUAAUGGCAGGAUCACACCAUUAGUUUGGACUGGAUCCAACCUGGAUUGUUGCAACAGCCUUUGAUCUGAUCUGUCAAGCCCUGUGCCUUCUGUGCAACCCAUUCUCUACCCUGGCACGAGCAUUACUAAAAUACCAAUCUGGUCCUAUGACUCCUCUGCAUAAAAACCACGGCUGGGGCUGGUCAAGUGCA